rnacentral:tRNA from 2 species
CGGGACGUGGCGCAGUCCGGUAGCGCACUUGACUGGGGGUCAAGGGGUCGGAGGUUCAAAUCCUCUCGUUCCGA